GGCUUAGAGUUUGAUCAUGGCUCAGGAUGAACGCUGGCGGCGUGCUUAACACAUGCAAGUCGAACGAAGCCUGAUCCCGGAUCCCUUCGGGGUGACGGGUGAUAUGACUGAGUGGCGGACGGGUGAGUAACGCGUGGGCAACCUGCCUCAUACAGGGGGAUAACAGUUAGAAAUGACUGCUAAGACCGCAUAAGACCACAGCACCGCAUGGUGGAGUGGUAAAAGCUCCGGUGGUAUGAGAUGGGCCCGCGUCUGAUUAGCUGGUUGGUGAGGUAACGGCUCUACCAAGGCAACGAUCAGUAGCCGGCUUGAGAGAGUGAACGGCCACAUUGGGACUGAGACACGGCCCAAACUCCUACGGGAGGCAGCAGUGGGGAAUAUUGCACAAUGGGGGAAACCCUGAUGCAGCGACGCCGCGUGAGUGAAGAAGUAUUUCGGUAUGUAAAGCUCUAUCAGCAGGGAAGAAAAUGACGGUACCUGACUAAGAAGCCCCGGCUAACUACGUGCCAGCAGCCGCGGUAAUACGUAGGGGGCAAGCGUUAUCCGGAAUUACUGGGUGUAAAGGGUGCGUAGGUGGCAGGGCAAGUCAGAAGUGAAAACCCGGGGCUCAACUCCGGGACUGCUUUUGAAACUGUCCAGCUAGAGUGCAGGAGAGGUGAGCG
rnacentral:rRNA from 1 species